rnacentral:rRNA from 1 species
UACGUAGGGUGCAAGCGUUGUCCGGAAUUAUUGGGCGUAAAGAGCUUGUAGGCGGUUUGUCGCGUCUGCUGUGAAAUUUCGGGGCUCAACCCCGAACUUGCAGUGGGUACGGGCAGACUAGAGUGUGGUAGGGGAGACUGGAAUUCCUGGUGUAGCGGUGAAAUGCGCAGAUAUCAGGAGGACACCGAUGGCGAAGGCAGGUCUCGUGGGCCAUAACUGACGCUGAGAAGCGAAAGCGUGGGUAGCAAACAGG